UGAUAUUCUUGAUCCUCCAUUUUCGCUUUCGGUUUCAUAGACUUUUACCUGGCCCGCAGUGUUCGCUAAUAAUUUAGCGAACACUGCACGCUAUAUAGAAGUAGAUGAGACCGAAGGCGAGAAUGGAGCAUCAAGAAUAUCA
rnacentral:pre_miRNA from 1 species